rnacentral:rRNA from 1 species
AGCUAGAGUUUGAUCCUGGCGUCAGGAUGGAACGCUGGCGGCGUAGCCUAACACAUGCAAGUCGAACGGAGUCAUUUGAGGAAGUUUUCGGAUGGAAUCAGAUGACGUUAGUGGCGGACGGGUGAGUAACGCGUGGAAACCUGCCCGUGUACUGGGGGAUAACACUUAGAAAUAGGUAGCUAAAACCGCAUAAGCGCACGGGACCGCAUGGUCUUGUAGUGAAAAACUCCGGUGGUACAGGAUGGUCCCGCGUCUGAUUAGCCAGUUGGCAGGGUAACGGCCUACCAAAGCGACGAUCAGUAGCCGGCCUGAGAGGGUGAACGGCCACAUUGGGACUGAGACACGGCCCAAACUCCUACGGGAGGCAGCAGUGGGGAAUAUUGCACAAUGGGGGAAACCCGUGAUGCAGCGACGCCGCGUGAGUGAAGAAGUAUUUCGGUAUGUAAAGCUCUAUCAGCAGGGAAGAAGAUGACGGUACCUGAGUAAGAAGCCCCGGCUAACUACGUGCCAGCAGCCGCGGUAA